rnacentral:rRNA from 1 species
AUGAACGCUGGCGGCGUGCCUCAUACAUGCAAGUCGAGCGAACAGACGAGGAGCUUGCUCCUCUGACGUUAGCGGCGGACGGGUGAGUAACACGUGGAUAACCUACCUAUAAGACUGGGAUAACUUCGGGAAACCGGAGCUAAUACCGGAUAAUAUAUUGAACCGCAUGGUUCAAUAGUGAAAGACGGUUUUGCUGUCACUUAUAGAUGGAUCCGCGCCGCAUUAGCUAGUUGGUAAGGUAACGGCUUACCAAGGCAACGAUGCGUAGCCGACCUGAGAGGGUGAUCGGCCACACUGGAACUGAGACACGGUCCAGACUCCUACGGGAGGCAGCAGUAGGGAAUCUUCCGCAAUGGGCGAAAGCCUGACGGAGCAACGCCGCGUGAGUGAUGAAGGUCUUCGGAUCGUAAAACUCUGUUAUUAGGGAAGAACAAAUGUGUAAGUAACUAUGCACGUCUUGACGGUACCUAAUCAGAAAGCCACAGCUAACUACGUG